GAUGAACGCUGGCGGCAGGCUUAAUACAUGCAAGUCGAACGGUAACAUGUCGGAGCAAUCUGAUGAUGACGAGUGGCGCACGGGUGCGUAACGCGUAUGCAACCUACCCAUAACCGGAACAUAACGUUGAGAAAUCGGCGCUAAUAUUCCAUGUGUAUAUUUUGUGGCAUCAUAGAAUAUAUAAAGAUUAAUUGGUUAUGGAUGGGCAUGCGUAUCAUUAGCUAGUUGGUGGGGUAACGGCCUACCAAGGCUGCGAUGAUUAGGGGUUCUGAGAGGAUAACCCCCCACACUGGAACUGAGACACGGUCCAGACUCCUACGGGAGGCAGCAGUAGGGAAUAUUGGGCAAUGGAGGCAACUCUGACCCAGCCAUGCCGCGUGAAGGAAGACGGUCCUAUGGAUUGUAAACUUCUUUUAUCAUAGGACGUAACCGCGACGGGACGUCGUCCUCGUCCUCGACUAAGUAUAGUAGUAUAGUAAGUAAGACUACG
rnacentral:rRNA from 1 species